rnacentral:rRNA from 1 species
AGCGAACGCUGGCGGCAGGCUUAACACAUGCAAGUCGAACGGUCCUUCGGGAUAGUGGCGGACGGGUGAGUAACACGUGGGAACGUACCCUUAGGUUCGGAACAACACAGGGAAACUUGUGCUAAUACCGGAUAAGCCCUCCGGGGGAAGAUUUAUCGCCUUUGGAGCGGCCCGCGUCUGAUUAGCUUGUUGGUGAGGUAAUGGCUCACCAAGGCUACGAUCAGUAGCUGUCUGAGAGGAUGGCCAGCCACACUGGGACUGAGACACGGCCCAGACUCCUACGGGAGGCAGAAGUGGGGAAUCUUGCGCAAUGGGCGAAAGCCUGACGCAGCCAUGCCGCGUGGAUGAUGAAGGUCUUAGGAUUGUAAAAUCCUUUCACCGGGGACGAUAAUGACGGUACCCGGAGAAGAAGCCCCGGCUAACUUCGUGCCAGCAGCCGCGGUAA